AGAGCUCAGUGGUGGCGCAGAAAGUGUUCACUUCUUCUGUUUCGGGCUGUACGCUGUGGUUCUGCGCCUCCAGGGCUUUGCUGCCUGGCGAGCGUCCUCCCUGUACCACAGGAUCCUUGCCCGACUACAAACCCGAGGCUUCUAUUAGGAUAGUCUGGAUUCGCCAUAGGGGUUUCUCCUAGCGCGGAUUGUGAGUUUGCGUUGGCGAUGCUCAUAGAAGAAAGGCGCAGAGCUGUACGAGGAGGCGGGAUGCACGGGUCAGAGCCCUCGGUGGCCUCCGCCCGCUGCUCUUGGCGCCGGUCCGCUCCUGGAGAUCGAGCGGCAGCCGCCUGGGAGGCGAAGCGCUUAAUCUCCACGCUACCCACGCGGGGCCGCGGCGCGGUGGCCGCACUUUGGCUUUGGGCGCUGGAUGGACAGUGGGGUAAAGGGUUGGGGUUCCCCUAACGUGGAUUACUUGGUGCUUAUCAACUGGAUUUAGAAGACUCUCGACCUGGUCUCCAUCAUCCGUGGGUUGUCUUUCCAUCUCCCAGCCGCUCUUUCACCUGGAGGUGUGAAACCAGAGCUUCUGCCUGCAUGGAACAAGAGCAAGAGAAAGGCCGAGGAGACUGACCUGCUUAUCCAUGCUACUUAUCAGGAACUGUGGAACCAUGGAGAACAUGACCCUGGCCCUCCCUUCAGGAUCUGCCUGAGAUCUGGCUGCCUCUUGAGACACUAGAGCCCUGGAUUCAAUUGCGGAACAUUAUGUUGGAGAAUAUAAACACUUCUAGACUGUGCCGGCAUUUGGGAAGGAAUAGUCUGUUUUGACUUGAAUGAACAAAGACAUACGUCUCUGGGCCUGGGGAAGGCUUACCAGCUCAGCUCAUCUACUGUCUGGUGGCAAACAUGUCCUGGGUACUGCCACUACCCAGGACACUCUUCCUCACUCUGUCCCUGUCCAGUUACCGCACCCUUCCCUGUCUGACCCCGCCUCCUGUGCCCACUCGCCUCUGGACCCAGAGAUUCUUCUUGUUUGCUCUAUCAUCCUUGAGCCGGAUACAGGGUGAAUAGUUAACCACACUUGGGUUGAAUGGGAUCUUGAUUCUUAUUUCUGUUCCUUGGAAAGAGGGGUCAGACUCGGUGCGUGGCACCCGGCCUGGAAGCAGCACAAGACUCCAGAGUGAUACAUGAUCUGCCUGGAUGGUCCCAGGGGCUCUUUGGAGGUCAGAGCAAGAGGAGCAGCCUGAGCAGGGGGGCUGAGGAGGGCCGGCACUGGAUCACACGCAGGCGUAUGUCUGGAUAGGCAGAGAGGAACCCACUUUUCAUUCCCUCUUCUGUGACACAAAUGCAAGGAACUUUGAAGACACUCUUCGGAGGUUGCAAUCGGAGAUCAGCUUAUCCAAGGGCUUCAUGUCUGAGCUCUGUUGGUCGUGCCUCCUGAGGACCUCUUUCCUCUACUGUAUGCUGAUGACACACCCAUCCGAUGGGAGCUGGAGCCUUGUCUGGUCCUUUCCUCUAUGACCCCACGUGUACAGUUGGAAAUCCUUCCUAAUCAUGCCUUGAUUCCCCCUUUUCGACUACACUCAAAGAUGUUUGAGCUGUUUUAUUUGCAAAAUGGAUGGACAGUUUGUUUAUAUAAAACAAUCCCAGCUUCCUUGUGCUCUAUCUGGUGUGUUUGUAUGGCUCUUCAGUGACUUUAAAGUGGAGCAUUGACCUUGGCCUCUUUGAUUCUCCAUGGUGGAAUAGAGAAGACCUCUUGAGGAUGCUUAAUGUUGCUGAGAUCUUAAGAAGGCUUGCAGACUUCCUCUUCCUCCCUCCUUCUCCCACCUCCUCCUUCCCUAAGCAGCCUCUGCAUUGUAUAAAUUCCUUUAUAUAAAUUCCUCUG
ensembl:lincRNA 2610035D17Rik RIKEN cDNA 2610035D17 gene